CCUACGGGUGGCAGCAGUGGGGAAUAUUGCACAAUGGGGGAAACCCUGAUGCAGCGACGCCGCGUGAGUGAAGAAGCGCCUCGGCGCGUAAAGCUCUGUCAGCAGGAACGACGAUGACGGUACCUGAAGAAGAAGCCCCGGCUAACUACGUGCCAGCAGCCGCGGUAAUACGUAGGGGGCAAGCGUUAUCCGGAUUUACUGGGUGUAAAGGGAGCGUAGACGGCGGGGCAAGUCUGGAGUGAAAGGCCGGGGCCCAACCCCGGGACCGCUCUGGAAACUGCCCGGCUGGAGUGCGGGAGAGGUAAGCGGAAUUCCUAGUGUAGCGGUGAAAUGCGUAGAUAUUAGGAGGAACACCAGCGGCGAAGGCGGCAUGCCGGCUCCACACUGACGCUGAGGCACGAAAGCGUGGGUAUCGAACAGGAUUAGAUACCCGUGUAGUC
rnacentral:rRNA from 1 species